rnacentral:rRNA from 1 species
ACACGACUACAUUAGAUACCCGUGUAGUCCUAGCCGUAAACGAUACUCGCUAGGUGUCGGCCACGGUGCGACCGUUGUCGGUGCCGUAGGGAAGCCGUGAAGCGAGCCACCUGGGAAGUACGGCCGCAAGGCUGAAACUUAAGGAACUUGGCGGGGAGCACAACAACGGGUGGAGCUUGCGGUUUAAUUGGAUUCAACGCCGGAAAUCUUACCGGGACCGACAGCAACAUGAAGGCCAAGCUGAAGACUUUGCCGGAUUAGCUG